UACGUAGGUGGCAAGCGUUGUCCGGAAUCACUGGGCGUAAAGCGCGCGCAGGCGGCGAUCUACGUCUGGGGUGAAAGCCCGGAGCUCAACUCCGGGACUGCCUUGGAUACGGGAUCGCUUGAGGAUUGGAGAGGCAAGGGGAAUUCCACGUGUAGCGGUGAAAUGCGUAGAUACGUGGAGGAACACCUGUGGCGAAGGCGCCUUGCUGGCCAAUUUCUGACGCUGAGGCGCGAAAGCGUGGGGAGCAAACAGG
rnacentral:rRNA from 1 species